GACGAACGCUGGCGGCGUGCCUAACACAUGCAAGUCGAACGGAGAAUCAGCAAUGAUUCUUAGUGGCGAACGGGUGAGUAACGCGUAGACAACCUGCCUUCUAGAUGGGGACAACACUGCGAAAGUGGUGCUAAUACCGAAUGUUGUAAUAAGCCUGCAUGGGCUUGAUACGAAAGGUGGCCUCUGACAUAAGCUACCACUAGAAGAUGGGUCUGCGGUGGAUUAGCUAGUUGGUGAGGUAAUGGCUCACCAAGGCGAUGAUCAGUAGCCGGUCUGAGAGGAUGAACGGCCACACUGGGACUGAGACACGGCCCAGACUCCUACGGGAGGCAGCAGUGGGGAAUCUUCCGCAAUGGACGAAAGUCUGACGGAGCAACGCCGCGUGAGUGAAGAAGGUUUUCGGAUCGUAAAGCUCUGUCUUUGAGGACGAAUGUGUCUAAUGUGAAUAAUGUUAGAUAAUGACGGUACUCGAGGAGGAAGCCACGGCUAACUACGUGCCAGCCGCCGCAGUAAAAC
rnacentral:rRNA from 1 species